AUUAGAUGUCCGCGAGGUACUACAAGCAUUAGCUUAAAACCCAAAGGACUUGAGGGUGUCUCAGACCCCCUAGAGGAGCCUGUUCUAGAACCGAUAAUCCCCGUUAAACCUCACCACUCUUAGCCAUCCCAGCCUAUAUACCGCCGUCGUCAGCCUACCCUGUGAAGGUAACAAAAGUAAGCAAAAUGGGCAUCACCCAAAACGUCAGGUCGAGGUGUAGCGUAUGGAGUGGAAAGAAAUGGGCUACAUUUUCUAUUAUAGAAUACCACGAAUAUGCACCAUGAAAUAGUGCUUGAAGGAGGAUUUAGUAGUAAAAGGGAAAUAGAGCGUCCCUUUGAACCCGGCUCUGAGACGCGCACACACCGCCC
rnacentral:rRNA from 1 species